UGCUUGAUUUUGAUUUGGUUACAUAAUAGCGUCUCUUAUGUUCUUGGUUGAUUUUCAUCUGUGCCAUUAAUUUGACCUUAGUUUAAAAUGUAGUCGUAGAAUAUCAUGUAUAGAUUAGGAGUUAGUUUAAUGAUCAUGUGCUCUUCUUGUAGUUGUUGAGGAUUGGUUAUAGCUGGAAGUACACAACUUCCUUGUGCUUGGUUAACCAUGGUCAAUCGACCAAGAUUAGGAAGGUUAGGUUGGUUAAAAUAGAGAUGGUAACUUCAGC
rnacentral:lncRNA from 1 species